ensembl:lncRNA
GCUUGCGGCCGCACGUGGAGCGCCUGCUGGCCCCGCCCCGGACCCAACCAAGCGUCCCGCGGAGGGGUGCCGCCGACUCGGGGGUGGGAGAGAGCGGAGGGCACCACACCUCCCGGGUCCUGAGAAAGGAGGAGAAUGGCAGAAGGGCGCUGUGUGUGGACCACUGCGAUCUAGGCCUUUCCCCACGCGACGGAGGCGGGAGGGGACGCGGUCAGCUUCCCCCUUCUGGCCGAAUGGCCCUCUCCGACGCUCGGCCCCCGCUCCCCUGGAACACUCCCUCCCAAGCCCUGUCGGGCUGGGCGGGGGUGGCUGUUUGGCCUGGGCAUCGUCUUACUAAUUCGGAACGACGGAGUGGAGGCCACUCAAAGAGGAGGCGAUCCCGGCGGAGGAGGCUUCGUGACUCCUAGCUUCUCCCCCUUACUCCUGUCCCGCACCCACCGGCCCACCCACCACUCGGGACGCCGCGCCCUCGUGGGUUUUUAUACUGGAUGGAGGGGGCGCCGCCAGGAAGCCAAGCCUCCCCCGCUAACUCUUGUUUCUGCAAUUGUAAAGCUUUCCCUCCACCUUUACUCACCCUACAGACUUUUGAAAUAUUAAGAAGAAUGUUAGAGGGAUUUUACUAGAGCAGUUGAUCGAUCAUUGAAUUCCUUGCCAGCAAAACAUUUUGAUGAGAUACACUUGGGAACAGAGUGGUUUGAGUCAAGCAAGGGAGAAAUUGGUGGCCUUGCUUCCAUUUGCUCAUGUUGCACGUCCAUGUCAAGCUUUCCUUGUGUCAUCCGGAGCUGCUCUCAUCUGAACACCGGAAACCUCUCUGUCCACCAGAGCCUGCCCUUCGACCUCUCCCACCAGAGAUGUUUUUUGACUUUCAGUCACCAAAACCUACCCAGUUCUUCCAGUUUAUUAGCCAUUUUUGGCCUCACUUCUUUCCUUUUGAAUUAAAUGCCUAGACUCACCAUUCUGAAUUUAUUCUCCCCUGUAGUCUAUACUUCAUCUCUCCUUGACCUUCUAAUACAGCUUUGCUAACAACCCUAAUAGUCAGGAGAACUCAGUCACCCAUUCCUUGCAUUUUGUUUUAAAGUCACCAAGGAAGACCAAAGAAAAUCUAAUGACUGUGUUGAUUAGUGACAUCACUAAAACAACAUUUGAGCAGUGGAGCACUUAUAGAUGCUUGGUCAAUUUUUUAUUCAUUCCCAGUUGGCUCCUUUUCCCUUUCACCACAGUGUUCCGAUUUUUUUUUUUAAAGGAUUUGUUUAUUUAUUUGGGAAGACGGAGAGGGAGAGAGAGUCUUAAGUAAACUCCAUGCUGACUGAACGCAGAACCGCAUGCAGGGCUCUAUCCCAUGACCCUGAGAUCAUGACCUGAAUCGAAACCAAGAGUCGGACACUUCACCAACUGCACCACAGUGAUCAGAUUUUUAUGGCUUUCUUCAAGUCUGUCAUCCCAGUCUAUAACCCUGCCACACUCAAGGCUCAACCUAGCCCAUCUGGUGGGUCUGGCCACUGGUCUGAAAGGCUUAUAAGUAUUACCUCAUUGAAUCCUCACAACAAUCCUUUGAGGGAGGCACACUCAUUUUCCCUGGUUUAUGGAUGCCUAAGAUCUUAAGGAAAGUAACUGUUGGAUCUGAACUCAGGACAUCUGUCUCAAAACUCAUACACACUCUUCCUAAACUGCCUCGCUUCUGCUGCAGAGCUGACUCUAGGCUUUUCUCCUUAGGGAUUUAGUUCCCUCCACCUCCAAAAUUCUGUGUGUCUUCCUCUGACUCCAUUCCCUCCUGACCCCUCUCAGUCAAUCCCCUACCAAAGCCCCAUAUCCCAAGCCCUCCUAGCUGUUCAGGGUCUUCUCCAACAUUUGUUUAUUCAUUUAGCAAAUACAUAUUAAGUGCCUGUUGUAUACCAGGUGUUGGGGACAGAAGUAAACAAGACCUAAUCUUCCAACCUGGGAGAUUAGCUAAUUAUGCACUCUCCCUCUUAAGUAUUCAACAUCUGGUAAGCUCCUAGACCAUUCUUUGCAUUGAAAGAAAAUCACUGGACAUUUCACACUACAUCUAGCAUUGACCCUGACAGGUGCAUUGCUGACAGGGAUGAAUGAUUUCAGGUAAAGUAUAUUAGUUUGGAGGUUUGUCCUUAGUCCUCUUUCUGAAAAGUAGCCCAUUUUAGGUGGGCCUCCAGCUCAUACCUUUUUGUCCGCAGUUCUGAGAAGGUUUGGAAAACUAACCCUUUGCCAUUACUGACUGACUAAUUGCACUUUAGGUGAAAUAUAGUCCCACCAAAGGGACCUCAAACUGGUUCUUGUGGCUUAAGCCUUGUAAUCUAUGACUGAAAAGAAAGAUACAAUCUUAUUAAAAGAAUUUCAGCAUUUGCAAGGGGGAGAUAGAUAUUUGUGAGACAAGCCACUUUUUAAACUUGUAUUUUGCCACUUUUAACCUAGUGGUUCUCAACUGGAGGGUGAUUUUGUCCCCGAAGAACAUUUGGCAGUGUCUGGAGAUGUGCUUGGUUGUCGGAACUCGGGGUUGGGAGGAGUGUCUAGUGGACAGAGGUUACAGAUGCUACUAAGCAUCCAAUAAUGCAGGGCACCUUACAACAGAAUUACUGCCCCUGGUUGAGAACCAUGGAUCUAACAGGUGAACUCGACUGGAGCAUUUAGCUACCCUGUAAGUUGGGUUUGAGGGACAGGUGCCUUUGGGGGUGCUGGCUGAGCCUGCUGAAGAUCUGUUGAAGAGUUACUAGAGGGGAAGAAUCAUUUGGGACCUAUAGAGUAAGGUAUUUGGGCCGAGUAUCUCUAUCUCCUCUCCCUAACUCUACCUGGAUCUUGGUCUUAGCCCCAAGACACCUGAUACACAUUUUAUUUCUUCUUGUAUCACCUAUUUAGUGUGUGAUGACUUCGAGGGGGGAAAGUAAAUUGGAUAAUCCCUGUGUCUGACAAAGCAAUUUUUUUUUUUUUAACGUAAGUAUAAUUUCUACCUCUGGCUAUAAAAUUUCUAAUGUGGCCAGAACACUAUUCUGUUUGUCAACAGAGGCAUAGUAAGAUUGAUCUCAAUGCAAAUUAAAUGAUAGGUCAAAGAAGAAAAAAGCUGGAAACAUUCUUUUCAUUUCUAUCAGUGAAGAAUCAACUUUUGAACUAAAAUUAGUGUUAAAGACCUUUUAAUAAAAUUUAUAAUUUAACAGACCUGACCA